AUUGAACGCUGGCGGCAGGCCUAACACAUGCAAGUCGAACGAGAGGCGGACGGGUGAGUAAUGUCUGGGAACCUGCCUGAUGGAGGGGGAUAACUACUGGAAAAGGUAGCUAAUACCGCAUACCAUGAGCUGUGCCCAGAGUGGAUUAGCUUGUUGGUGUGGUAACGGCUCACCAAGGCGACGAGCCCUAGCUGGUCUGCGAGGAUGACCAGCCACAUUGGAACUGAGACACGGUCCAGACUCCUACGGGAGGCAGCAGUGGGGAAUAUUGCACAAUGGGCGCAAGCCUGAUGGAGCCAUGCCGCGUGUAUGAAGAAGGUCUUCGGGUUGUAAAGUACUGGCAGCGGGGAGGCGUUACCCGCAGAAGAAGCACCGGCUAACUCCGUGCCAGCAGCCGCGGUAAUUC
rnacentral:rRNA from 1 species